rnacentral:rRNA from 1 species
AUUGAACGCUGGCGGCAUGCCUUACACAUGCAAGUCGAACGGUAACAGGUUAAGCUGACGAGUGGCGAACGGGUGAGUAAUGUAUCGGAACGUGCCCAGUCGUGGGGGAUAACUGCUCGAAAGAGCAGCUAAUACCGCAUACGACCUGAGGGUGAAAGCGGGGGAUCGCAAGACCUCGCGCGAUUGGAGCGGCCGAUAUCAGAUUAGGUAGUUGGUGAGGUAAAGGCUCACCAAGCCGACGAUCUGUAGCUGGUCUGAGAGGACGACCAGCCACACUGGGACUGAGAAAAGGCCCAGAAUCCUAAGGGAGGCAGCAGUGGGGAAAUUUGGACAAUGGGCGCAAGCCUGAUCCAGCCAUGCCGCGUGCGGGAAGAAGGCCUUCGGGUUGUAAACCGCUUUUGUCAGGGAAGAAAAGGUUCUGGCUAAUACCUGGGACUCAUGACGGUACCUGAAGAAUAAGCACCGGCUAACUACGUG